AUGUCAGACCAGAGUGACAGCCAGAACAGGUCAGAAGAGCAGAUUGACAUGAGUCAGGGCACUAGUCCCUCCAGCACUUUAGAUGAAGGCAGCAGAAGCACUCCUAGCAACCUGCCUAAGGCUGCUACAAGGCAAAGGAAGAAGAGAACCUCAGACUCCGAAGAUGAGGAUUAUAGAGCUGAAGAGGAUGAAGCUACUUCCAAGAAAGUAGUGCUCAAAAAGGAGUAUGGCUCAGCUAAGAAUACAAAGCCAGGCAUGAAGAUUAAAAGGCCUGCAGGAAGACAACCAAUGUCCAAAGCCAGAGCAUCAACUCAAGCUGCCCCCAAGGCCAAGUCUGCACCAAAGAGGAAUACCAGGAGUAUUCCAGCUGCUGAGAAGAACAAGGCCCCACUGCCUGAGGUUGCUGAGGAGGAAGAUGAAGAAGUACAAGUUCCGAGGAAGCUCAAGCCUAAGAUACCAGACCACAAUGAUGCCCAUCCUGUGGCUGAAGACAUGAACAUCAGAAAAGAUUCAGGAUUGAGGCUAUGGAGGAUGGCAGAUCCAUAUGCCACAAGGAGAAGAACUGCUGUUUAUUACAGGUUCCAUACAAAGGAACAACAGGACUUCUAUGAGACAAUCUUGUUGGACAAAAAGCCCAUUGUGUGUGAUAUGAGGUGGGUCGACUGGACCUACAUGAAGGAAAAUGAAGAGCACUAUCCAGGAGUACAAGACAGUUUUGUUGCUUGUGGAGUUGCAGAUUUUGUUGGGCAAAAGCUCACAAACUGGAAUGAUGAACUUAUCAUGCAAUUCUACUACACAGCACACUUCUAUCCAGAUGGAAGGAUAGUUUGGAUGUAUGAAAGUACAAGGUACCAGUCAACUGUUGAGGAGUGGGCAAAUCUAAUAAAUGCCCCAAAGGAAAAUGAUGAUGAUCUGGAUGUAUAUGCCAAGAAGAAAAUGGGACACAAUACCAUGGCACAUAUGUACAAGGAGAUCCCAGACAAAGCCCUAGAGACUUUCUCUUUUGGAUCGGUCCACUUUCUUCUGUCAGGGCUGCCUACAAUCAACUGGAUCCUAAGGCACACCCUAUUGCCUAAGUCAGGUGACCUCAACAUGAUCAGAGGGCAUGCAAUCAAUAUGUUGCAUUUGUUUGACGUGCCACAGAAAUUCAAAGUCAUGAGCCUUAUAGUGGAAACCAUUAAGAGGACUGCAGCAGAUCAUAAGAGGAGUUGUGGAUAUGCCCCUUAG
rnacentral:rRNA from 1 species